GUUGAAACACGGGUUCUCGUUCGAUCACCGAAGUUAAGCAACGUCGAUCCUGGUCAGUACCGAGAUGGGUGUCCACUUGGUAAUUCCAGGUGCUGUAAG